GGUACCUAAACUACACAGAAAACCCUGUCUCAAAAAACCAAAAAAAAAAAAAAAAAAGUCAUAAUGAUGUUUAACAUGUAUGCUGGUUUAAAAAAAAUGUAAGUUGGAAAAGUAAUUAAAAAAGACACCCAAUGUCAGUCACUCUCCUCCAUAUGCUUCUACAUGGUCUAGCACUGUCUCUGUCUCUCUCAGGGUCUGUCUGUCUCUCUGGCUCUGGCUCACUCUCUCUCAACAACAUUCCCCUUAAUCACAGAAUAGAAUGUAUGCCAUGUGAUCCAUUCUUUAUAUAGCAGCUCAGAAGUGUUGAGUGAUUAUCACAGAGAAUCAUCAUUUUUGGGAGCUCUGUUAUUGUUUUUUUUUUCUUUUUUCACAAACAUGUUUGCAAGAAAUGUGAAUAUUCUCAUUUUUAAACUUGUUUUGACAGCCAAUAAUAAACAUGUUUGCAUUGAAAGUUAAUUUAUUAAAGCUAGAUGAGAUGUAAAUCUUUUUAGAGAAUCCUGGAAACAGGCAAGGACUGAGCUUAUAGAAAGAGGCUUUUGAAGUGUCAGGUCAUUAAUGCCUUUCAUCAGGGAGUGAAAGGGAGGGGCAGAUUCAAGGACACAUGGGUACAACUGCCCAGCAAGGACAAAAGUCCUUGAGGAUGCUCUCCAAAGCAGAAAGGGCUCAUGAAGCCCAUGGCCAAACCUCAGGGUGCUGAUGAACUCCUUAUCUUAGAGACUGCUCAAAAAAUAUUUGACCAGUUUUCAGAGUGAGUCACAAAGGAAAAUAGGACGUGGAAUUUGGACAGCAGCAUGGGGCAGCCUUUCGGAACUGAUAAAAAGCCUGCAGUAUAGGGCCACUGAUAGGAAAUCCCGGUAUUUCAGUCUGUCCUUUCCCGGAAUUUGCAUGUUGCUUGAUAAGGGCCAGUCACAAACAGAAAGGGAGUUUCUCACCAGAUGCCUGCUGCUAUGCAUUGAGUGGGUUAUUCUCUGAUCCAAAACUACGACUUAAGCAAGUCUUAGCUACCUACUCAAGCUCCCAGCAUUCUACUGCUGACCUCUCAGCAGGAUGUGGUCACAUCUUGUCCUAGAGCUGUUUUGUCACUCAGAAGUGGACACGAAUGCAUUAAUGAAAGCAGAUCCAAGUCACAUUCCUAAUAGUUCUCUCUCUCUCUUUUGAAUUCCCCUUUCUUCUGUAGAUAUUUCUAGAUUAUUGAUGCUUAAUUUUCUUACCUCUCUCCUCCACACCUUUGGCCUUCUCUUUCACAAUCCUUUUCUGAAGAUUCCUUCCACUCAUUCUUCCCGGUUUUUUAUUGUAGAUAUGUGAAUGGUCUUUAUUUCCAAGAAUUUCUGGUGGCUCACUUAUGACUUCCUUUAUUGAAAUUGCUCUUGUAUUAUUAAUGUAAGAGCUUCUUGAGUCUUCACAUUACUCAAAGGAGUUUUUGUUCUGUUUUGUUUUCCUGCCUCCUGCCUUACCUUAGCAUCUCCUAUGAUGCUCUCCUCACUCUGUUUGUAGUAUUUUGUGUCCAAGGCAUUCUUGGGGCUGGAGAGAUGGCUUAGCAACUUAGAGCAUUGGGUGGUCUUCCAGAGGACCUACACUCAAUUCCCGGCACCCACAUGGCAGCGCCUAAUUUCAAUUCCAUGGCAUCUGGUGCCCUCUUCUGACCUAUGGGGAUACCAGGUAUCUACAUGGUGAACAAACACACACAUAGGCAAACACCCAGACACAUAAAGUAAAAAUAAGUAAGUCUUUAGAAAUAAAGACAUUUCUGGUGAGUGGGAGGCAGGAUUUCACUUAGUACCCCACUUUUCAGUACGAUACUACCUGCCUCGGCUUAUUGGAAUAAUGAAUCCAGAGCCUACAACCAGAGAUUUCUCAAGUUUCCUGCUCCCAAAGUUUUCUUGGCAUUUCUCAUUCUCAUGGGGAAGAAGCUACCAGUCGGCCCCUCAUGCUCCCUGGAUCUAUGUUCCUGGGGCUAGCUAGCUCUGUACUGCCAAGUACAAGAAGUUUCUCAGUUCAAACUCAAGCCCCUUUGAUAUAAAACAAAUAGUGUCAUCAUCACAGAUGACCUUUUCUCCAUAUCAUUUUUUUAGUCCCUCCAGUUUUCAUUUUUUGAAAAAGAAUUAAUGCAUUUUAUAAUUAUAUAUUUCAUAUAUUAUAUGUAUAUAUAACAUAAUAAUUAUGAAAACCAUUUUCAAAGUACUAGAUAUGUUGAAGCAGUCCAAGAAGGUACAUUCACCUUAAUGAGUUCCACUUGAGUUUGUUCUAACGAAAUCAGUCCUCAAUAAAGUACUUGUCUGCAUAACAUGAAGAGAUAUGUGUUUCUGGAAGACAGUAAGAAAUGAAAACUCAGAAUAGUAGUAGUCCAAACCUAAAAUCCGCAGUACAAGGGAAAGAAAUACUUAGUGACUAAAGUAUUGGAUGUGAUGAACUUCCGGUCUCUGUUGUUAUGUUAGACGGGGUAUGUUUGUAUGUCCUAGGAAUUAUUUACUGGGGGACCUAUAGUGUCUUAUUCAAGGGAUCCUAUUCACCCCAGAUGAGACAAUGUGAGGUCAAAAAUAGCAUUCAUCUUUCCAAUGAGUUUUAUUGGGAUUGCUUACAGGAGUACCAUGAGGGAAGGCUAACUUGUAAGAGCUAGGAUGAUUUGGGCAGCUGCAUCACAAAAGUGGCCCCCGGUUACCUGUAAGAUUUCUCUCCAAAGCAGCAUCAUUACAAUUGCUUGUGCAACUUUCAGGUAGCUCCUCCUGUGAAGAUUCACCUGUUCCUGGAGAGCCGUUGACUGUUUAUAGGGGAGCAAGAAAGGGUCUCCUAAGGCUUGUGAGAUCAUGAGCCCCAUAACAUUGUGAAGUUGAAUUUUAUCAUCCUGUUAUCCUCAUGGCAUCACUUCCCCUAAUAGACAAGUAGCUGAUGAGAAACUACUAUGACAAAGGAUGAUGGCUUCCUCUGUUGAUGCUGACAUUUAUGACGUGAUUCCAGAAGCCCUGGAGAUAAGCUUCUCCUCACCUCCAUUGGAAAAGCCUGCUACAGUGGGAUCUGCUAAUAUUCCCUAAUCUCUUCUGUACCCUUUCUUCCUUUCUUACGUCUCUGAUCCAGUCUUCCACUGUAGACUAAAACCUAUGUAUUCUAGUACAGUGGUUCUUAACCUAUGGGUUGUGACCCCUGUGUGUGUGUGGGGGGGGGGGUCAGAUGACCCUUUCACAGGGGUCACCUAACAACAUCAGAAAACACAGAUAUUUAUAUUACAGUUCAUAACAGUAGCAAAAUUAUAGUUAUGAAGUAGCAAUGAAAAUAAGUUUAUGAUUGGGGAUCAACAAAACAUGAAGAACUGUAUUAAAGAGUCAUAGCAUUAGGGAGGUUGAGAAUCAUUAGUCUAGUGCAUGCAAUUUUUGAAAUAACCAAAACAUACUCUGAUUGCCCAAAUAAAGUGUAAUAAGCUUGGCGGCUUCUAGAAGAGAUUUUUUUUUCAUUUUUAGAUUUAAGUUUUUUUUCUGUGUUUGUAUUUAGUGCUGGGGAUUGUUCCAUCCAAGACUUCCCAUACUGUGCCACUGAAGAUCUAAGUCCUACGUUUACUUUUCAUUUUGAGACAAGGUCUGCUCAGUUGCCUCGUCAGAACUUACGCUCUCUAACCUCAUACCUCUGUCUUCUCGAACUGGCUCCAAAACCACUUUUUCUCACAGUUCCGGGUCUUGAGUUCCGGCAUUAAGGUGAUAGCCCUCUCAGGUACGAACUAGGGCUCAAAGCCAGAAAGAGUUCUCAGUUAAUGGAUACUGUUUCUUCUGUGUGCUUACAUAGGCUUUCUUUCCUGGGUAUAGGUACCGAUAGACUCUGUCUCCCCACCACCUCUUCGGUCUCCUCUACCUACUCUUAUUAUAGCCACCAGUCCUAUCAGAUUAGGAACCCACAUAAGGUCUGGUGCCUAUUGUCUCACUCUGGAGAGGGACAUCCUGCUGUCUGUGCUGUUGGUGUUUGACUAGCCUUCGAUCAGCGUGACCUCUUCAACCUCCACCCCUACUGUUGGGUUGCUUACAGCCAUGGGCUGUAUCCAGCUCAAAGUGAACCCAUGAGUAAUGCUGGACAAACUCAAAGCACAGGAAUCAGAUAAUCCGUGUAGAGUGAGGUACCGAGAAAAUUUAGGGCAGCCAGGAGCCAACUCUGCAUCAAACUCCUUGACCCCCAGGCUUUUCAUGUCCCUGGUGGUCAAAGCCACACAUAUGUACCAGUUGAUGUCAGCCCAAGUCCCUUCCAGAAAUAAACAGUUUGCAAAUGAGUAACAAUUUGCCACAAAGGAUUUGACUCUGCAGUCUGGCGUCUGGGACAUUGCACUGUGUAGCUAUGCAGCCCAGAGGACAAAUUCUUCAUAAAGAAGCAGAAAUCGGUGUAGAAAAGCUGCCGGGGGUCUUUAGGGAAUAAUAUUAGUCUCCCCAUGCAGUCUUUGCUCAUAAAAUCUCUCUGCAGUAAAGGAGGCCUCGUGGUGAUAAGCAUGACUUUAAUAGAUUAAACAGGGAACCGUGACCCUUGAAUUUAGCUAGAAAAUAAUAAUAAAUUUUGGACUCUAAUAUGAUAAAGAAGAUUUGAUGUGCCUUUUCAGAAUAUAGAAAUAGAGAGGUAAUCACCAGACUAAUUAUCUUCACCAUUAUUUUGUCUGCUGUGUGUGUGUGCAUCAUCAGAAUGGGAAAAGAUGGAGGGGUGGGGUAGGUGACAUGGUUUUUAGCCACACUUUUCUUUCAGGAGCAUACUGAACUCAAAUGGUUUGCUCUUUUCUGAUUUAAAAAUAAUGCUAGACCUUUGAUCAACAGCUUUUCACAGGAUGCUAAACAUUUGGGGUGAAAUGAGACAUUCUUGCAUAUACUUAACACAGUUGCUCUUUUAGAGGGCCUGCUAGGAUUUAUUUUUGAUGCCUGAAUUGCAUGCUACUUUCCCAAUUAAAAGCUCAUGGAAUUGCCACAUUAACACUCCCUUCUCUUCCUUCUGGAGGGCUUGCUCUCCUGUUCUUCUGUCUCCUGGUAAAUUCCUCCUUCGCAGGACGUGCCGGGGUUAAGACUCAGCCAAUAGAGUUGCCCCAGAAGCCCUGGCCAGUGCUGUAGGGGUGACAGUGGUGCAGAGGGAGUUUUGAGUGUCAGGCACACAAGCAAUGUGUUAGAACCCUUACUAUACCUGCAGCACACUCCCCUACCUCAGUUCUCACUCAUAGCCUGUGCUAACUCAGCUCCCAAGCAAAUUCGGCCUCAAAACAACCCAGCUUUUUCUAGCCAGCAGAGGAUGAGAGGAGGUUUACCUCAGCCAGGCAUGCUGUCUGUUUGCUUCUAUUGACAGUUCAAAGGUUUAAGCAGUUUUAAUAUAAAAUGCCAUAGUCUUUUAAAAGUCUACUUCUGUGCUUUUAUUUUUCCAUUUACUGCUAUUAGUAUAUCAUCUCUAUUUUUAAAGCCUAUGAAUAACUUACAUGUAAUAACUUUAUACUUAAGGAACAGGGAAAUACAUUAACAUUAUAGAGAAAAACAUUUAAGAGUCAGCCCAUUAGUCUAGGAUCUACUAAAUAAACUUGUAUAUAAAAUGGAAUUAUAAUUAUCAUCAUUAAACAUUCUUUUUCUGGAACGGAUGAAUCUACUGACGAUUGGUUGCUACUUUUCAAUUUAAGUGAGUUCUGUGUUAGUAUCUUUUCUUUAUCCUUGAAGCUGAAAUAUUAAAAAAAUACAAAAGCUCUUGGGUCAGAAGGCCACUCUCACUGCAGACAGAAAUUUUAGCUAAUGAAAUGGUUUCUUGUGACAUAAAAGAAUUGUAAUUAUGCUUUUUGUUUUGCAAAAAGAACAAAUUUCUUCAAAAGUUCUUGUCACAAUAUUAAUUAUAUACUUUUAUAGCCUUAAGAUAUAUCAGAGAAGUUAUUAUUCAUAGUUUCCUAAAUAGUGGAUUAUCAUAAAGAUUCCAGUAUAGGCAGGUAUUCUUUUCUAUAGUGCUACAAUGAUGACAAAAAUCUUGUAUACUUAGAAAUGUUUCAGACCAUGAACACAUGCCUAAGAAGAAUUACCUUCAUUGACAACUGAGUUAAUUGUAAUAGUUCUGUUACUCAAAAGCCUAUUCGUUGGAUGUAAGAUCAUUGCCAAUUAAAAAUGGACUCAUAUUAACUCUUCCAUAGG